rnacentral:rRNA from 1 species
UACGAAGGGGGCUAGCGUUGCUCGGAAUCACUGGGCGUAAAGCGCACGUAGGCGGAUUGCUAAGUCAGGGGUGAAAUCCUGGAGCUCAACUCCAGAACUGCCUUUGAUACUGGCGACCUUGAGUCCGGGAGAGGUGAGUGGAACUGCGAGUGUAGAGGUGAAAUUCGUAGAUAUUCGCAAGAACACCAGUGGCGAAGGCGGCUGACUGGUCCGGAUCUGACGCUGAGGCGCGAAAGCGUGGGGAGCAAACAGG